rnacentral:tRNA from 1 species
GCCGAGGUAGCCCAGCGGCCCAAGGCGCAAGCCUGGAAAGCUUGUGGGGCGAAAGCCCCCCGGGAGUUCAAAUCCCCCCCUCGGCGCCA